AAUCUGUGUUGUGGGCACCUCCGCAAGAGAUCAUAAAAGCGCUCCCAUGUCUCAAAUAAUAAUUCCAAUUCCAUCUGUACAAACGAUGAUAUCUCAUUAUGAAGCUU